rnacentral:rRNA from 1 species
GAUGAACGCUGGCGGCGUGCCUAAUACAUGCAAGUCGAGCGAACGGACGAGAAGCUUGCUUCUCUGAUGUUAGCGGCGGACGGGUGAGUAACACGUGGAUAACCUACCUAUAAGACUGGGAUAACUUCGGGAAACCGGAGCUAAUACCGGAUAAUAUUUUGAACCGCAUGGUUCAAAAGUAAAAGACGGUCUUGCUGUCUCUUAUAGAUGGAUCCGCGCUGCAUUAGCUAGUUGGUAAGGUAACGGCUUACCAAGGCAACGAUGCAUAGCCGACCUGAGAGGGUGAUCGGCCACACUGGAACUGAGACACGGUCCAGACUCCUACGGGAGGCAGCAGUAGGGAAUCUUCCGCAAAGGGCGAAAGCCUGACGGAGCAACGCCGCGUGAGUGAUGAAGGUCUUCGGAUCGUAAAACUCUGUUAUUAGGGAAGAACAUAUGUGUAAGUAACUGUGCACAUCUUGACGGUACCUAAUCAGAAAGCCACGGCUAACUACGUG